rnacentral:lncRNA from 1 species
AUGUUUAGGCCAAUUUUCAACAACUUCCUUCAUAUUUUUUUUAAUACUAUUACUUACAUUACUAUCCCUCUUCAUAUAAUCGCUAGUUUCGUUUGUAUGUUCUGUAUUUUUGUAGUAAUAAUUAUUGUCGUGAUGGCUGUUGUCGUAAUGACUAUUGUCGUGAUGGUCAUCCUCGUUAUAACAAUUGUCUUGCUGACCAUCAUUGUAGUAACUCUUGUUAUCGUAGUCCUUAUCGUAGUCCUUAUCAUAGUCCUUAUCAUAGUCCUUAUCGUAGUCCUUAUCAUAGUCCUUAUCAUAGUCCUUAUCAUAGUCCUUAUCGUAGUAGUUUUUAUAAUACAUUUUAUUAUUAUAUUUAUUAUUGUAAUACUGUUCGUUGUUAUAUCUCCUACCGUGAUAGCCCAUGUCAUAAUUAUUAUUACUACGACUAUUAUCUUGUUCAUAAUUUGUAUCAGUUUGAGUUUUAAAUUGUUUUCUGCCUUUAUAUGAAUUUGAUUCGUUAGAGUUCCUACGUUUUAUAUAUUCUGAGUUGUAAUUUUUUUUUUUUAAUUUUUUAUUUUUUUUUUUUUUAACAUCCUUUUCGCUAACAUCUUUUUCGCUAACAUCCUUUUCGCUANNNNNNNNNNCAUCCUUUUCGCUAACAUCUUUUUCGCUAACAUCCUUUUCGCUAACACCCUUUUCAUUUAUUUUAUUUUUUUUAUUCUUUUUAUUUUUUUUUUCCUUUCCCUUUACCCCUACUAUUUCCUCUUUAUCAAUUUUAUUUUCCAAAUUUUCGAACUCGCAAUCUAUUUUGCUAUUACUAGAAGAUGGAGAUCUUUUUAUUUGUUCUUUACAUAAAAAAAAAUUAUCCUCUUUAUUAUGAUCAUCCAUACAAUCAUUGAAUGUAAUCAUACUAUUAUAAAUAUUGUAACAUUUAUUUUUAUUUUCUAUUGCAUCAGUUGUUAAUUUAUUAAUAUCUUCUUCUCUUAUAUCUUCAAUAACCUCUUGUAAAUGUCCCUCAUAAAAAUAAAUAUAAAUUUUGUUACUUCUGCA